GCGAUUCUCAAAUAUAAUCGAUGUUUCUUGUAAUCGAUCUAAUGUUGAAAUGUAACGUAAAACUGUUAGUUUUAGGCGGGAACGUGACGUGAAACGUAGCAAGAAGCUGCUUAUCCAGAAAUUGUCAAAUAAAGACUAUCUAGACAUUUCCCACCAAAUUUAACGGUUUCUAUUUAAUGAUACUUGUAAUGAUUUUCUCUGGGUUAUGAAUACAUAUGUCGCUCCUUGCAUCUAAUUAGAGGUUAUGUCAGGAAUAAGAUUGACACACGCGAGUUGAGACGAAAUAAAAAUCUGAUAGUUCGAGGU